AGUGAACGCUGGCGGUAGGCCUAACACAUGCAAGUCGAACGGCAGCACAGUAAGAGCUUGCUCUUACGGGUGGCGAGUGGCGGACGGGUGAGGAAUACAUCGGAAUCUACUUUUUCGUGGGGGAUAACGUAGGGAAACUUACGCUAAUACCGCAUACGACCUACGGGUGAAAGCAGGGGAUCUUCGGACCUUGCGCGAUUGAAUAAGCCGAUGUCGGAUUAGCUAGUUGGCGGGGUAAAGGCCCACCAAGGCGACGAUCCGCAGCUGGUCUGAGAGGAUGAUCAGCCACACUGGAACUGAGACACGGUCCAGACUCCUACGGGAGGCAGCAGUGGGGAAUAUUGGACAAUGGGCGCAAGCCUGAUCCAGCCAUACCGCGUGGGUGAAGAAGGCCUUCGGGUUGUAAAGCCCUUUUGUUGGGAAAGAAAAGCAGCAGGUUAAUACCCCGCUGUUCUGACGGUACCCAAAGAAUAAGCACCGGCUAACUUCGUG
rnacentral:rRNA from 1 species